AUCAAAACCCAAAGAAAUUUUGAGAGAUGAAUUACUGGUAACACUAGCUUGCUCCUCCUUUUGAUCUCAAAGUUCUAUAUUUCUUUGUAACUGUCUGUAUAUGAAGAGAUAAAAGGCUAGUAUCAUUUAAAUGGAAUAGUACCAAAGUGAUAGCGCUACCCAAGUAGCUCUCAUAAAGACACCAUUGCCCUGUUUGGACAGGUAUAGUAGGAAUGGAAAAUCAAUGAAUAAGGAUGCUUUGCUCUGUCAUUAUUAGUCUGUAGCAGUGAUGAUGGAUUGACUCACUGCAGCCCAGAAAGCUGACUUGAGCUACAGGAUUCACUAGGUAUGAUCAACAUCUCAUAUAAUCUGUUACUAUAAUUAUUCACUUGCAAAAGUCAAAUUUUCAAUUCAUACAUGCUUAAGCAGCAUUGAAUGCUAGAGGGAUACCAUCAUCCUAUAAAUCACAAAGUUCCACAGACUUCAGCUAGAGGUAAAAUUAGAUGGCAGAGGCCUACAUGCUUAGCUAGGUAAUUUAAUUUAAUUGGAUAUCAAAUAUAGUGAUAAGAUUAGAAUUGGUAGUUAAGGUUAUAAAAAGUUUUGGCUAAAAAAAAAAAGAGUAGGUUAUAAAAUAAUUAAGUUAAAUUUUGGUCUUCUUGGAGUCUUUUUCCCUAUGGGGUCCCUCUUCCCCUGUACUUACUCACCUGGUCUCAGUACUCAUCACCGUGCUACUCCACAUUGAGUUGUCAUUUAUCACUGCGACACUUCUGCUCCAUCAUACACCAUCUGCUAUACUCCUGUCUAUAACUGAAAUUUAUCCCCCAGCAUUUUUUACUAUAAACUAUAGUAUUAACAUUAGGUAAUUAAUUUUUUUAAUCUUCAACACAGGGAAUAUUAUCCUACUCAGGGAACCCUAAGAUGUCUAUGGAUGGACUUCAUCAAAGUCUGUGAAUCCCUUAAAAUUGUAUAAACAUUUUGAGUGAAGGCAUAUGUGGAUUUUUCUGGGGAGAGCAUUCAGUGCUUUUAUCGGAUUAUCAGUCUGUUUUCCCCAGGGAAGUUAGGCACUACUGUCUAUUAGAACCCGUUUGAGCCUUGCUUCCUGGGAAACACAGGAAUGUUUUCUUGAGAUAAUGAUCCUGCCUUUGUUGUUACCCAACUGUUACUCAAAUCAUCCUCACUAAUCUUCCGCCAACCACUCCAUCAUUUGCUUGGUACUCAUCAUCAUUUAAUACCACCUGUCAAAAGGCCACAAAAUACUUCUCUUCCAUUGCAGAGCAGAAGACAGCUAGAGGAUCACCCUAAGGGGACCAGGCCUACAUACUUUACUUACCACAAAAUGUAGAGAAGAAAAUUUAUUUUCUUUUUUUAAAAAUUUUUAAAUUUUUAUUAUUAUUAUUUUUAGGGCCGCACCCGCAGCAUAUGGCAGUUCCCAGGCUAGGGGUCUAACUGGAACUACAGCUGCCGGCCCACACACAGCCACAGCAAUGCCAGAUUGGAACUGCGUCUGCAGCCUACACUGCAGCUCACAGCAAUGCUGGAUUCUUAACCCACUGGGGGAGGCCAGGGGUCGAACCCGAAACCUCAUGGUUCCUAGUUGGAUUCGUUUCCACUGCGCCAUGAUGGGAACUCAAGAAACUUAUUUUCCGGUGAAAUUAAGUGGCAGUAACAGUUUUAUUCGUUCAAAACAGAACAGGCCAAAUGUCCAUUUUUUUAAAGCUGUUUUCAUUUUAUUUUUUUCUACCAAUCAUACAAAUAUUGCUGUUGUUAAAAUAAUUAUUUUGUUGUAACUUCUCUUAAGAGAAGAACUUUAAUAAAUUAGGUUACCUUUUAGAACUACCCUUCAUAGUCUCACACGGAAUGGUAAUAUAGCAUUUCAUCAUCUUCCUAACUCUGAUUUUACUGUUCUAGUUAUAAAAGAACUUCUUUCACCCAUCUCAUCCCUAAUUGUAAAAUAGUCAAGGGAAUCAAAAUCCCAAAGAAUCCAAGCAUUGCUUCAAUCUUCCUUUUAUGUAUUAAUUAAAUCUCUCAAAUUUCAAAUUAGAUUUUAUCUUCAGUGGAGUUUUAAAAAAGUUAAAAUGUUUUAGUUUCUUGUAUAAGUUGCACAUGCUUGAAAGCCAUUUUCUGUAUCAAGGUACAUUGGAAAUGCAAUGGAAAAACAAACCUGCCAAAACGUUGCUUUCAUGAAGUUGAUACAAUUAGUUGAUUGAGUGAACGUCUCAAUCUCAAUUUUUGAUGGUUUUUUUUUUUUUGAUGUGUACAUACAUAGUCCAAGACAACCACUUAACUCUCUUUUCUCUAUGGUAAAUAAAUAAUGGAUAAUUUAUAACAUAAGUUUUCUUCAGGAAUUUACAAACUAUUCCUGUAUCCCCACGUUCCCUAAUAAACAUUUUGCACACAACAAAUACUUACAUGAGUCAUAAACCUAUCCCUUCUUAUCGAGGCUACUGCAUUGGGCUCAAAGUUGAAAAAGUCUAAAGAUAACGUAUUUUUUUUUUUUUUUUUUUACCCUACAGAUGUUGACACGAGUAUUUUCAACCUACUUGCAUUUGGUUUGGGCUUAAAUGUCACUUCCUUAGAGAACUCAUUCAUUUUCUUCAUGGCACUGGUUGGUAUCUCUUGCUGUUAGUUAUUUGUUUACUGUCCCUCUCCAUUAUACCUUAAAGCUCUAUAAGGAUAGAGAUUAUGCCAUAGGGUUACUAUAUCCAGUAUCUUAUACAGUGCCUAAGCACAUGGUAGGCACUCAAUAACUAUUGUUGAACAAAUGCAUGUAUAUCUCUGAGCUGUACAGAAAUGGGUGGGUACAUCUUAGAUGACCUUCUUGGCCAGUGGAUGUAGCUUUAGGAACCUGAAGCAGCAGAGUAACUCUGAGAGCUGAGUAUUGGUGAAUCCCAUUCACAGGCUUAAAGCAGAAACAUCAAGUUCACGUUGUUUUUCUUGAGUUUUUGAUUUCAGAAUGAAGAUGUGUUUGGGGAAUCAGGACACCUGCUCCCGUUGUAUUCAUCCCCCCCACCCCAAUGAAGUGAACUAGUAAGCGCCUGGCUGAUUGUAAGCCCAACACACUGUUCACUACCGACUUGUUAUUUGUUUUCAACAUACUCCACCAGGUUCACAGUUCAUGUUGUGAGUAUCACAUGUUUGUGUUUUAAGGAUAAAUAACUUUUUUUUUUUAUACGUGCUACACAUGCAGCUGUUAGUUUCAAUUCAGUAGCAGGAACAGGCCAAAGUAAAUGUUAAGUAAUUAGAAAACAAACUCAGAAACUCUGUCACAUGAACAGGUUAUUGGUGAAAAAAACUGCAAGAUGGCUCAGGAACAGGAGUCUUUCCCUUUAUAGGUUUCACAUCAAUACAGGCAGAAAUAAAGAAGUUGAUGAGUUUGAGUGGGGAAGAGGAUAUUGUGUAAGAGACAGACUCAGCUUGCCUCCCUUAAGAUUCCAGAUAAUCAGCAGAUUUAAUCCCUCAAACAAAGGCAGACUAAUUUGGUUAAACCAGGUUGGUGAAUUAUUGCAGAUCUGGCUGCUUCAGUUGGCAAGCAAUCAUUGAAGUGUUUUUUUUUUUUUAAGUUAACUUAUAGAAAGAGAUAAAAGACCUAUUGAAAACAAACAAAGGUAAAAUCUUCUCUAUUAUGAUUGCAAAAGAUAACUUAUUUAGAUGGAAAUAAGUGUAACAAAUAACUUACUUAGAAAGAUAACAGCUAUGCUUAUGACUGCUGUAUGGAAUCCUAGUUGGCUAGAUUUAGUUGACCCGAAUCAUUUAGCUCUUUGAAUCCAUAAAUUUGUUCUCGAAUAAUGUAGAAAUAAAUGUAUAUAGUUCUUUAAAACUGUGAAGUAGACAAAUGGGAGUUAGAAACAAUAAAUAAGGUUGAAUCAUAACCAUAUGUGUGCUGGUAGACUAUUAUCCAUUUCCCGAGGUUCUGUCAAAGGUAAACUGAUUAUGUAGCAAUUCAGAUUCAGUGCUUUUGGGGAAGUGUAGCAAUAACUUGGAUCAUUUAUAUUUGGAAUUCUAUUCAGAAGCAUGCUUUAUCUAAAUUUGCCUCAGUUGCCUGGUAGGUGAUCAAAGUUCCUUUUUAUUUGCCUGUAGAUUCUUUCCUUUCUUAGUAAGUAGGUGUACUAAAUCAUGCUUCUAGUAUCUUCAUACUCAGUAAAUACUUACUGAGUGUCUGCUAUGUCUCUGGCACUGUUCUAGGUGCUGGAAAAACAGAAGUGAACAACAACAACAAAAAAACCCCAGCCCUCAUAAAGCUUACAUUCUAAUGGAGGAGGCAAAUUACACACAAUGUAGUUUUAUAAUGUAUUAGAAGAUAUUAAGAAGGUUGUAAAGAAUAAAAAAGCACUGAAGGGACAUAGAAAGUUCCAGAGUUGGGUUGGAAUGUUGAUCAGGUAAGUUGGUCAGUCAGGGGCUUGCUGAGAAGAUGACAUUUGAGCCAAGAUUUAGAGAAGGUCAGAGAAAGAAGCCUGUGAGUAUGGGAGGAAAGAGUGUUCCAAUAGAUGCAAGGACAAAGAGGAAACACCCACAACAGCAAGGAUGCCAGUGCAUUUGGAAUAAAGGAAGCAAGGAGGACCCCUCAGAGAUGAAUUAAAUAAAAGAUAGGGACUGUAUAUAAGGGCUUUGCAAAUCAUUGUAAGGACAUUGGUUCUAAGUGGAAAGUUAUUGGAAGGUCUUGAGUAGUGGAGAGUUAGAGCCUGAUUGACAUUUUUAAAGGAUCAGUUUGUCUCUGUGUUGAGAACAGAUUGGAAGUGAGUUGGUAGCCGUUGCAACAAUUUAGGCAAGAUGACGCUGGCUCUGAUGAGUCUGGUAGCAGUGAAAGUAGAAAGUGAAAAGUAGUCAAAUUCUGGAUGUAUUUAAAAAAUAGAGCCAACAGAAUUUGCUGACAUCAUUAUUUAGGAAAAAUUGCCGGAUCUAGAAUUCAUAUUUGUUUCUUUUCUCAGUUUCCAUUACAGCUAUACUAAGGAUCUAGCCUAGAUUUGGCUUCUAGAUUCAGGAAGCUGAAUUACUUGGCAAUAAAGACUAUAAUUUAAAGUAGAUAAAUAUUCAAGAAAACUACAUAAUAUUUCUCAAUAUUUUUGCGCUAAUGUUAUAUUUAUCCUAAGAUAUUCAAAUAAAAUGGGAUAAAAG
rnacentral:lncRNA from 1 species